rnacentral:rRNA from 1 species
GCCUGAUGGAGCACGCCGCGUGUGUGAUGAAGGCUUUCGGGUCGUAAAGCACUGUUGUAUGGGAAGAACAGCUAGAAUAGGGAAUGAUUUUAGUUUGACGGUACCAUACCAGAAAGGGACGGCUAAAUACGUGCCAGCAGCCGCGGUAAUACGUAUGUCCCGAGCGUUAUCCGGAUUUAUUGGGCGUAAAGCGAGCGCAGACGGUUGAUUAAGUCUGAUGUGAAAGCCCGGAGCUCAACUCCGGAAUGGCAUUGGAAACUGGUUAACUUGAGUGCAGUAGAGGUAAGUGGAACUCCAUGUGUAGCGGUGGAAUGCGUAGAUAUAUGGAAGAACACCAGUGGCGAAGGCGGCUUACUGGACUGUAACUGACGUUGAGGCUCGAAAGUGUGGGUAGCAAACAGGAUUAGAUACCCUGGUAGUCCACACCGUAAACGAUGAACACUAGGUGUUAGGAGGUUUCCGCCUCUUAGUGCCGAAGCUAACGCAUUAAGUGUUCCGCCUGGGGAGUACGACCGCAAGGUUGAAACUCAAAGGAAUUGACGGGGACCCGCACAAGCGGUGGAGCAUGUGGUUUAAUUCGAAGCAACGCGAAGAACCUUACCAGGUCUUGACAUCCUUUGAAGCUUUUAGAGAUAGAAGUGUUCUCUUCGGAGACAAAGUGACAGGUGGUGCAUGGUCGUCGUCAGCUCGUGUCGUGAGAUGUUGGGUUAAGUCCCGCAACGAGCGCAACCCUUAUUGUUAGUUGCCAGCAUUCAGAUGGGCACUCUAGCGAGACUGCCGGUGACAAACCGGAGGAAGGCGGGGACGACGUCAGAUCAUCAUGCCCCUUAUGACCUGGGCUACACACGUGCUACAAUGGCGUAUACAACGAGUUGCCAACCCGCGAGGGUGAGCUAAUCUCUUAAAGUACGUCUCAGUUCGGAUUGUAGUCUGCAACUCGACUACAUGAAGUC